AAACCAAGUGAGAUUAUUCUUGGAACAACUUUGGUCUGAUGAAUGAGAAAUUCAAAUUCUUCUUGAGUACUUGCGUGUCAUGGCUUUCAUGCUCUUCCAUAGCCUAGAUGUGUCAUUAAUCAAGUUGUUUUGAAAACAACCCAAUAAAUGUUCUACUUCAGCUGUAGGCCUACCCCUUUCGGUUGUUACUACGAGAAAAUGAGAUGGCAUCUUGUGUCAGUCUCGCCAGUAUUUAAGUCAUCAUCGUGGUGUUGUACAAAUAUACAGCAAACAAGUAGAUGUCUUUGCACAUCCAUUAAUACUGCAAAAGAAUUCUUUGUUGAUUAAAGAAGAAGUCCAAUAUCGGCUGCAAUCUGCAGAAUAAUCCAUCUCGUCGCAGACUCGCACAGUGGUUAAGGUUGUGAAGUUGUCAUGUUGUCAAUAGGUGGGGUUCGAAUUCGUCAACCAGAGGUGGUCUUUGAAAGCCAAACCACGUCAUUCGUUUCCGGGACAAUGUGCGGAUUGUGCGGUGUUGUAUCCAUUACGUCGAGUUUCCAACCUUUUUCAUCAUCAAGAUGGAAAGGUGGUUUUGCCUACAAUUUCAGUCCCACUCCCAGUGUGUCAUCUGGCCAAGUGGCCUGAAAUUGCUGUCCGGAUGCCGAAAUGUCGUCUCGUACCAGAAACUUUAAUGCAAUGCUGUAAAAUUACAAAAAAAAAAUGUUGAAGCACCUUUGGAAGAAGUCAUUGGCAUGCUAAUUUCAUUUUGUAACUACUGUCGGCUUCCAUAGAUGGUGAAAGAUGUGCUUGACGCGAAACAAGCUGCUGUUGUCUAUGCUGGUGUUGGUGAAUCUACAGUUGCUUUUCUUACCUUCUUCAGCUUCUCUGGACACAUGGUUUUUUUACAGGGAAAUAUGCUGGAGUAAUCUAGUCUUCAUCCUCAUUUGAUUCGUUUCGUGCCAGCUAGUGGAAGGCGUGACGAAUUCCAGCAAGCAAUCAAGCAAUAUCCAGUCGUUCCGUUCAGUCAUUUGAACAGAAAUCUAUUGGCUGUCGCUAUAGUUGGCUAAAAUGUCCACCAGGGAACGCGGGUGUGUUCAAGGACGGAAAAAUUCAGCCAUUCUGUUCCAAGACGCAGCCAAAUUUGAUGGUCUUGACGUUUACCUUGUUAAAAUUGAAAAUUGAAAGCAUGUAAAAAGCACUUUGCCAAAAUCAUCGGACUUGAAACUACCUGUACAUUUUGCCGAAAUGUUGUACCUCCUACUGGCCUCGUGUGUCUUGCUGCUUGUAGACAAGGUUCAACAGCCAGGUGAUAUUUCUGCAUUGUUGUUUUACACAACUUGGUUUUUGGGUGCGGCCAGCCGGUGAAAGGUGCUAUCAAAUCAAGUUGAGCUGUUACAUGGAGUCUGUGGUGGCGGUGUUAUCCUGGAGUGUGUUGGUGUUCUGACUGUUUGUGUUAAGUGUAUUCUCUUCGUCAGAUAACAAUUUUUCAUUUUCGAUUGAAGUAGGUUAUGAUGUAGAUAAUGGCACAUCUGGGCUUCCUCUUCUCUGGUCCCGUUUCCCUAAUAAUUAACCAACGCUCGCCGGUGGUCGCUCACUCGCUAUGAAACUAGGAGGAUGAGAGGGCUCUGGUCGAACGGGGACUUGAAAGGUUGAUGAUCCGAUGAAAACUUUUGGAAGAUCAUGAAUCUAAUUAGGAAUCCUACUAUGAUUAAUCGAACCUAGCAAAACUUGUCUCGCACUCUUCUCUCUUCUUCCAUGUCCAGGGAAUCUACCUGGGCAGAGUCUCCCCCUGUCUUGAUUGGUUGGACUUUGCAGGAGUAAAGUAAAAAGUGAAUUAUUUAAACCUUGUCCGAUACAAGAGCUUAAAUUGGUAACAUGGAAAAUAAUUAUAAUAAAGAAUAAAUUAACAAGAAAAAUGAAAUUAACCUGAAAUAUAUAGUACGUUAUACGGUCAUAGCAAAAUUUACAAAUACAACAUUGAUAAUCUUCUAUUUA